rnacentral:misc_RNA from 1 species
UCGAGCAAAAAAGACUCUCACUAAGUUCACUUAGAGAGCCGCUAGUGGGUCGCCGAGGAUCGGGCCCGACCAGACAGGUCGGUGUCCCGACCCGAGGCCGGUCGCCGGCUAACCAGCCGAACGCGACCGCCCGUCUAGCGCGAGUAAGGGAGGCACCAGGGUUCCUCGCCGAUCGCGAGCGCCGACCCGGACGCCGUCUCGCCUUACUC